rnacentral:ncRNA from 1 species
UUAAAUAUUUCAUUACCGGGUGCCCGUUUAAAAACGGGUUAAAAGGGAAAGUGGUGAAAGACCACUGCAGCCCACCGUUACUGUGAUGCUGACGAAACCUUGAAAAAUCACUGGAAUAUAUUCCGGGAAGAUUGGGGAGUAGAUUGAAGCUGAGCCAGGAAACCUGCCCGAUAAUUGUUGAGUCU